UACGAAGGGGGCUAGCGUUGCUCGGAAUCACUGGGCGUAAAGGGUGCGUAGGCGGGCCUUUAAGUUAGGGGUGAAAUCCUGGAGCUCAACUCCAGAACUGCCUUUGAUACUGAGGAUCUUGAGUACGGGAGAGGUGAGUGGAACUGCGAGUGUAGAGGUGAAAUUCGUAGAUAUUCGCAAGAACACCAGUGGCGAAGGCGGCUCACUGGCCCGUUACUGACGCUGAGGCACGAAAGCGUGGGGAGCAAACAGG
rnacentral:rRNA from 1 species